GCGUGAGUGAUGAAGGCCCUAGGGUUGUAAAGCUCUUUCAACGGUGAAGAUAAUGACGGUAACCGUAGAAGAAGCCCCGGCUAACUUCGUGCCAGCAGCCGCGGUAAUACGAAGGGGGCUAGCGUUGUUCGGAUUUACUGGGCGUAAAGCGCACGUAGGCGGAUCGUUAAGUGAGGGGUGAAAUCCCAGGGCUCAACCCUGGAACUGCCUUUCAUACUGGCGAUCUGGAGUUCGAGAGAGGUGAGUGGAAUUCCGAGUGUAGAGGUGAAAUUCGU
rnacentral:rRNA from 1 species